rnacentral:snoRNA from 1 species
UGCCUCCUAUGUGACAUUGAAAGAACAGGUUGUGUUUUAUAUCCUGACUGUUUAGAAGGAGGAGGUACAGUUCCCAUCCCACAGAUAUCUCAGUUCAGGCCCUUUGCCUGCUCUGUAUGUUUAAUGGGUGAUGG